rnacentral:rRNA from 1 species
CAGCAGCCGCGGGAAUACGUAGGUGGCAAGCGUUGUCCGGAAUUGUUGGGCGUAAAGGGCUCGCAGGCGGUUUCUUAAGUCUGAUGUGAAAGCCCCCGGCUCAACCGGGGAGGGUCAUUGGAAACUGGGAAACUUGAGUGCAGAAGAGGAGAGUGGAAUUCCACGUGUAGCGGUGAAAUGCGUAGAGAUGUGGAGGAACACCAGUGGCGAAGGCGACUCUCUGGUCUGUAACUGACGCUGAGGAGCGAAAGCGUGGGGAGCGAACAGGAUUAGAUACCCCGGUAGUCCCUGUCUCUUAUAC